CCUUCGAAGAAGAGGGGGUAUAUUGCUUUGCACAUGUUGGUCGGUCGGUCGGUCUGUCGGUCGGUCCAUCCAUCAGGUGGUUUCCGGAUGAUAACUCAAGAACGCUUAGCCCUAGGAUCAUGAAACUUCAUAGGUACAUUGAUCAUGACUCGCAGAUGACCCCUAUUGAUUUUGAGGUCACUAGGUCAAAGGUCAAGGUCACUGUGACCCAAAAUAGUAAAAUGGUUUCCGGAUGAUAAUUCAAGAACGCUUAUGCCUAGGAUCAUGAAACUUGAUAGGUAGAUUGAUCAUGACUUGCAGAUGACCCCUAUUGAUUUUCAGGUCACUAGGUCAAAGGUCAAGGUCACGGUGACCCGAAAUAGUAAAAUGGUUUCCGGAUGAUAACUCAAGAACGCUUAUGCCUAAGAUCAUGAAACUUCAUAGGUACAUUGAUCAUGACUCGCAGAUGACCCCUAUUGAUUUUGAGGUCACUAGGUCAAAGGUCAAGGUCACUGUGACCCAAAAUAGUAAAAUGGUUUCCGGAUGAUAACUCAAGAACGCUUAGGCCUAAGAUCAUGAAACUUGAUAGGUAGAUUGACCAUGACUCGCAGAUGACCCCUAUUGAUUUUGAGGUCACUACGUCAAAGGUCAAGGUCACGGUGACCCGAAAUAUUAAAAUGGUUUCCGGAUGAUAACUCAAGAACACUUAUGCCUAGGAUCAUGAAACUUGAUAGGUAGAUUGAUCAUGACUCGCAGAUGACCCCUAUUGAUUUUCAGGUCACAAGGUCAAAGGUCAAGGUCACGGUGACCCAAAAUAGUAAAAUGGUUUCCGGAUGAUAACUCAAGAACGCUUAUGCCUAGGAUCAUGAAACUUGAUAGGUAGUUUGAUCAUGACUGGCAGAUGACCCCUAUUGAUUUUCAGGUCACUAGGUCAAAGGUCAAGGUCACAGUGACAAAACAACAUAUUUACAAAAUGGCUGUCACUAC